UCGAACGGGAGCUUCGGCUCUAGUGGCGAACGGUCGCGUAACACGUGGGCAACCUGCCCUGAAGCGGGGGACAACAGUUCGAAAGGACUGCUAAUACCGCAUGUGGACGAAGGGGGCAUCCUCUUUGUCUAAAGGAGUAAUCCACUUCAGGAUGGGCCCGCGGCCUAUCAGCUUGUUGGUGGGGUAACGGCCUACCAAGGCUUCGACGGGUAGCUGGUCUGAGAGGACGACCAGCCGGAUUGGGACUGAGAUACGGCCCUGACUCCUACGGGGGGCAGCAAUUAGGAAUCUUGCGCAAUGGGGGAAACCCUGACGCAGCGACGCCGCGUGGAGGAUGACGUCCUUCGGGAUGUAAACUUCCUUUCUCAGGGAAGAAAAAAAUGACGGUACCCUGAGGAAUAAGCCCCGGCUAACUACGUGCCAGCAGCCGCGGUAAUACGUAGGGGGCGAGCGUNGUCCGAAUUUACUGGGCGUAAAGAGCAUUAAGGCGGGUCUUUAAGUGAGGGGUGAAAGGUUCAGGGCUCAACCCGAACAGUGCCUUUCAUACUGGGGACCUUGA
rnacentral:rRNA from 1 species